AUAAGCUCAGCUGAGUAAAGCAAGAGGAUCUGAAAAUCCUCCGUGUCACCAGUUUCAAAUAA
rnacentral:tRNA from 1 species